rnacentral:rRNA from 1 species
AUUGAACGCUGGCGGCAGGCCUAACACAUGCAAGUCGAGCGGAUGAAGGGAGCUUGCUCCUGGAUUCCGCGGCGGACGGGUGAGUAAUGCCUAGGAAUCUGCCUGGUCGUGGGGGAUAACGUCCGGAAACGGGCGCUAAUACCGCAUACGUCCUGAGGUAGAAAGUGGGGGAUCUUCGGACCUCACGCUAUCAGCUGAGCCUAGGUCGGAUUAGCUAGUUGGUGGGGUAAAGGCCUACCAAGGCGACGAUCCGUAACUGGUCUGAGAGGAUGAUCAGUCACACUGGAACUGAGACACGGUCCAGACUCCUACGGGAGGCAGCAGUGGGGAAUAUUGGACAAUGGGCGAAAGCCUGAUCCAGCCAUGCCGCGUGUGUGAAGAAGGUCUUCGGAUUGUAAAGCACUUUAAGUUGGGAGGAAGGGCAGUAAGUUAAUACCUGGCUGUUUUGACGUUACCAACAGAAUAAGCACCGGCUAACUUCGUG